CCUACGGGCGGCAGCAGUGAGGAAUAUUGGUCAAUGGGCUUACGCCUGAACCAGCCAAGUCGCGUGAGGGAAGACUGCCCUAUGGGUUGUAAACCUCUUUUGUCAGGGAGCAACGCCGGCUACGUGUAGCCGGACUGAGAGUCCCUGAAGACACCGCCUCGGCUAACUCCGUGCCAGCGGCCGCGGUAAUACGGAAGAUGCGAGCGUUAUCCGGAUUUAUUGGGUUUAAAGGGUGCGUAGGCGGAAUGCCAAGUCCGCGGUAAAAUCGCGGGCUCAACCUCGCUACGCCGUUGAAACUGGCGUUCUUGAGUGGGCGAGAAGUAUGCGGAAUGCGUGGUGUAGCGGUGAAAUGCAUAGAUAUUACGCAGAACUCCGAUGGCGAAGGCAGCAUACCGGCGCCCAACUGACGCUGAAGCACGAAAGCGUGGGUAUCGAACAGGAUUAGAUACCCGUGUAGUC
rnacentral:rRNA from 1 species